GGUGGCUCAGUGGUAGAGUGCUUGCCUUGCGUGCAUGAGUCCCUGGGUUCAAUUCCUCAGCACCA
rnacentral:tRNA from 1 species